AGCAGCCGCGGUAAUUCCAGCUCCAAUAGCGUAUAUUAAAGUUGUUGCAGUUAAAAAGCUCGUAGUUGAACUUCGGGAUCAAUGGAUCGGUCAUGCCCAUUAGGUAUGUACUGAUCUCAUUGGUUCUCACCUUCUAAGGAACCAUAAUGUCAUUCAUUUGAUGUUAUGGGAAAUUAGGACUGUUACCUUGAAAAAAUUAGAGUGUUUAAAGCAGGCUCACGCCUGAAUACAUUAGCAUGGAAUAAUGAAGUAGGACAUCGUUAUGCCUAUUUUGUUGGUUUCUAGGAUCGAUGUAAUGAUUAAUAGGGAUAGUUGGGGGCAUUAGUAUUCAAUUGUACAGAGGUGAAAUUCUUAGGAUUUAUUGAAAGUACUAACUACUGCGUAAAGCAAGUUUUGACCAAGGGAUGUUUUCAUUAAUCAAGAACGAAAGUUAGGGAUCGAAGACGAUCAGAUACCGUCGUAGUCUUAACCAUAAACUAUGACCGACUAGGGAUUCGGAUGAUAGUUAAGUUUUU
rnacentral:rRNA from 1 species